rnacentral:rRNA from 1 species
CUGAUGCAGCCAUGCCGCGUGUGUGAAGAAGGCCUUCGGGUUGUAAAGCACUUUCAGCGAGGAGGAAAGGUUGGCAGCUAAUAACUGCCAGCUGUGACGUUACUCGCAGAAGAAGCACCGGCUAACUCCGUGCCAGCAGCCGCGGUAAUAC